rnacentral:lncRNA from 1 species
GGGGAGAGCUGAGUCCCUGGAGGAGCUCCUGUCGGCGGUGCGCCGGCAGGGCGUGAGGGCCGACGGUCUGCUGAAGGACGGAGACAACCUGCUCCAGCGCUACCGCAACCUGGAGACCCGGCUCGGUGACCAGCAAAGCCAGGCCCGCAGGGACCUGGAGGGGCAGCGGGAGGAGUUCCACACCCAGGCUGAGAGCACCCAGACCUGGAUCAGAGACCUGGCUGAAGGCCUGGCCUCGCCCCACAUCCAGGGACAACACCAGGAGGUCAAACUGGCAGCACAGGCGGUGCUCGUCUCCAGGCACGACGGAGACGCUCAGGUGGACGAUCUGAGACGGCGAGGGCAGAGCGUGUGUAAGUGUGAGGACCUGGAGGAGGGCAGGAGGAGGGAGGUGCAGCAGACGGUCGAGGCGACGGCCAAGCAGUGGGGGAACGUUCUCCAGAGGGCGGAGGAGUCCCUCCACAGAGCCGAGACACAGGCGGCCGUAGAGGAGAACCUCGACGACUUCAAGAGCCAGAAGGAGAGCGUCCUGUCCUGGGUCCGACAGCAGACCCAGACCCUGAGGUCUGUCGGAGGUCACAUGACCUUUGAGGAAAGGCUGCAAAUCCCUCGGGUGAGUCGGGACAGCUAGGAAUGUCAAUGCAAUUAAUUAUAGUCCAUAUAAUACAUUUAUAUUUUUGUGUUCAUAUUUAUAUAGAAAAUGCUGAACAUGGUCAUUAUUUUGAUAAUGGUCGAGGUGAAAUGUACCUGUCUGUAAAAAUGGAUCAUUAUUAUCAACGUCAGUAGCCUUGUAUAUAAUGUAUAGAGCAUAUAUGUGCCUCGUUCUUCUCAAAUGCAUGAACCUCCGUGUCACCCAAAGCUUCCCUCACCCGUUCCUCCCCUGGUCCCUCCAGAACAUCCUGGCCUCCAAGCCCGGCGGAGACGCCAAACUCCAGGAGCUCCGCAAACAAGCCGGGACCCUGUACGGGAACGAGGAGCCGGAGGAGAGCGUCAGGCGGCAGGAGGUCCAGCAGAGCCUCCGGGAGGUGGAGACCCAGUGGGCGGGGGUCCUGCGGGGGGCCGGGGAGGCGGAGAGGAGCGCCCUCUCCGAGGACUUCCACCUGCAGAAGAACCGGACGCUGGCGUGGGUGGCGGAGAGGCAGCGGGCGCUGGACGCGCUGGGCAGGCACGCGCCCGCCGAGCAGAGGCGCCGCGCCGCGGAGGACGUGCUGGGCUCCAGACCCGAAGGGGACCGGCAGGUGAACAACCUGAGGAGGGGCGGUCAGGGUCUGUGUGGACGGCUGGAGCAGGAGGACCGCACGAGGAGGGAGGAGGUGCAGCAGGCCGUGCAGGAGGCGGAGGAGCGCUGGAGGCUGGUCCUGACCGGCGCCACACAGAGCCUGGAGGAGGCUGAGGCCCAGGUUGCCCUGGAAACGGAGAAGAGGGACGGGGAGGUGAGGAACACCUACUGAGGAUCUCGGCUGAGGUCACAGUGAGGUUAAAAAGCAUGAAAAUAUAUAUAUAUAAAUCAUCUAUGUGACAGAACUGUCCAAU